rnacentral:rRNA from 1 species
ACGGGAGGCAGCAGUGGGGAAUAUUGCACAAUGGGCGCAAGCCUGAUGCAGCGAUGCCGCGUGAGGGAGGAAGGUUUUCGGAUUGUAAACCUCUGUCAUCGGGGACGAUAAUGACUGUACCCGAGAAGGAAGCUCCGGCUAAAUACGUGCAAGAAGCAGCGGUAAUACGUAGGGAGCGAGCGUUAUCCGGAAUUACUGGGUGUAAAGGGAGUGUAGGCGGGACUGUAAGUCAGAUGUGAAAUAUACCGGCUCAACUGGUAGACUGCAUUUGAAACUGCGGUUCUUGAGUGAAGUAGAGGUAAGCGGAAUUCCUAGCGUAGCGGUGAAAUGCGUAGAUAUUAGGAAGAACAUCAGUGGCGAAGGCAGCUUACUGGGCUUUAACUGACGCUGAGGCUCGAAAGCGUGGGGAGCAAACAGGAUUAGAUACCCUGGUA